AUGAGCUACGCGGCAGUCCUAGGAAGGAAGACCAUCACUCUCAAGGUUGAACCCUUGGAUACAACAGAAAAUGUAAAGGCCAAGAUCCAGGAUAAGGAAGGAAUUCUUCCUGAUCAGCAAAGACUGAUCUUUGCUAGCAAGCAACUGGAAGAUGGAUGUACUUUGUCUGACCAUAAUAUUCAAAAGGAGUCCACUCUUCAUCUUGUGUUGAGACUUCAUGGUGGUGCUAAGAAAAGGAAGAAAUCUUACACCACUCCCAAGGAGAAUGAGCAUAAGAGAAAAGUUUAAGCUGGCUGCCCUGAAAUACUAUAAGGUGAAUGAGAUGGCAAAAAUCAGCCGACUUUGUCAGGAGUGCCCUUCAGGUGAAUGAGGUGCUGGAAUUUUUAUGACCAGCCACUUUGACAGACAUUGUUGUGGCAAAUCUCUGACCUAUUGCUUCAACAAACCAGGAGACAAGUAA